rnacentral:rRNA from 1 species
AGUGAACGCUGGCGGCAGGCCUAACACAUGCAAGUCGAACGGCAGCACAGGAGAGCUUGCUCUCUGGGUGGCGAGUGGCGGACGGGUGAGGAAUACAUCGGAAUCUACCUUGUCGUGGGGGAUAACGUAGGGAAACUUACGCUAAUACCGCAUACGACCUUCGGGUGAAAGCAGGGGACCUUCGGGCCUUGCGCGAUUAGAUGAGCCGAUGUCGGGUUAGCUAGUUGGCGGGGUAAAGGCCCACCAAGGCGACGAUCCGUAGCUGGUCUGAGAGGAUGAUCAGCCACACUGGAACUGAGACACGGUCCAGACUCCUACGGGAGGCAGCAGUGGGGAAUAUUGGACAAUGGGCGCAAGCCUGAUCCAGCCAUGCCGCGUGGGUGAAGAAGGCCUUCGGGUUGUAAAGCCCUUUUGUUGGGAAAGAAAAGCAGUCGGCCAAUACCCGAUUGUUCUGACGGUACCCAAAGAAUAAGCACCGGCUAACUUCGUGCCAGCAGCCGCCGCCGUAA